AACGCGAAGAACCUUACCAAGGCUUGACAUAUACCGGAAACGUCCAGAGAUGGUCGCCCCGUAAGGUCGGUAUACAGGUGGUGCAUGGUUGUCGUCAGCUCGUGUCGUGAGAUGUUGGGUUAAGUCCCGCAACGAGCGCAACCCUCGUUCUAUGUUGCCAGCACGUAAUGGUGGGAACUCAUGGGAUACUGCCGGGGUCAACUCGGAGGAAGGUGGGGAUGACGUCAAAUCAUCAUGCCCCUUAUGUCUUGGGCUUCACGCAUGCUACAAUGGCCAGUACAAUGGGCUGCGAUACCGCAAGGUGGAGCGAAUCCCAAAAAGCUGGUCCCAGUUCGGAUUGAGGUCUGCAACUCGACCUCAUGAAGUCGGAGUCGCUAGUAAUCGCAGAUCAGCAACGCUGCGGUGAAUACGUUCCCGGGCCUUGUACACACCGCUACAGU
rnacentral:rRNA from 1 species